GGGAUGAGGCAAGUGGAUUUAUAGACUUAAAUAACAAUUCCAGAAAACUAGAGAAGAAAUGUCACAGCCACAGGGCAGAACUUAAAGGAAUAUGAAGCAGAAGUGGGAGAAAGUGAAGGAAGAUUGAGGACAGACCAUAUUGGACCCCACUCUGGUCUCCGAGGUGCAAUCUGAAGGAAGGAAAAAAGCUUUAAAUUAAACAUGAAUUUGGCUUUUUAAACCUGGAAUGGACUCUAUAUUGUCAAAAAGUGGUUAAAAGGAUUGAACACUUAUGGAAUCUGCCCAAGAUGUCAUCAAACUGCAAGGAAACAGGAAGAAGUUACCAGUCCCCAAAACAAGACCCAAAUACAAAGCAGAGAGUGCAUUUCCCCCACCAGCACACAUAACUACUCCACCUUGCUAUCUGAUGGGAAUCCAUCCUGCCCCCUUAGAGCUGUCAGCUGCUUAUCCCUGGAGAGGGAGUGGAGAGGGAUUCCAG
rnacentral:lncRNA from 10 species